GCCGGGCGUGGUGGCUCAUGCCUGUAAUCCCAGCACUUUGGGAGGCUGAGGCAGGUGGAUCACUUGAGGUCAGGAGUUCAAGACCAGCCUGGCCAACAUGGUGAAAUCCCGCCUCUA
rnacentral:SRP_RNA from 1 species